AUACACUGAAUGGAGAGAGUGUGGUUAAACCACAGCUUGAAGAAAAAACAAAUGAGACUUACGGAAAAUUGGAAGCUGUGCAGUAUAAAACUCAAGUUGUUGCUGGAACAAAUUACUACAUUAAGGUACGAGCAGGUGAUAAUAAAUAUAUGCACUUGAAAGUAUUCAAAAGUCUUCCCGGACAAAAUGAGGACUUGGUACUUACUGGAUACCAGGUUGACAAAAACAAGGAUGACGAGCUGACGGGCUUUUAGCAGCAUGUACCCAAAGUGUUCUGAUUCCUUCAACUGGCUACUGAGUCAUGAUCCUUGCUGAUAAAUAUAACCAUCAAUAAAGAAGCAUUCUUUUCCAAAGAAA
rnacentral:lncRNA from 1 species